UUGAUUAUGACGUACUUGUACUGAUUGAGAUUUUAACACGAAGUGAGUGGCGAACGGGUGAGUAACACGUGGGUAACCUGCCCAGAAGUAGGGGAUAACACCUGGAAACAGAUGCUAAUACCGUAUAACAGAGAAAACCGCAUGGUUUUCUUUUAAAAGAUGGCUCUGCUAUCACUUCUGGAUGGACCCGCGGCGUAUUAGCUAGUUGGUGAGGUAAAGGCUCACCAAGGCAGUGAUACGUAGCCGACCUGAGAGGGUAAUCGGCCACAUUGGGACUGAGACACGGCCCAGACUCCUACGGGAGGCAGCAGUAGGGAAUCUUCCACAAUGGACGCAAGUCUGAUGGAGCAACGCCGCGUGAGUGAAGAAGGGUUUCGGCUCGUAAAGCUCUGUUGUUAAAGAAGAACGUGGGUAAGAGUAACUGUUUACCCAGUGACGGUAUUUAACCAGAAAGCCACGGCUAACUACGUGCCAGCAGCCGCGGUAAUACGUAGGUGGCAAGCGUUAUCCGGAUUUAUUGGGCGUAAAGCGAGCGCAGGCGGUCUUUUAAGUCUAAUGUGAAAGCCUUCGGCUCAACCGAAGAAGUGCAUUGGAAACUGGGAGACUUGAGUGCAGAAGAGGACAGUGGAACUCCAUGUGUAGCGGUGAAAUGCGUAGAUAUAUGGAAGAACACCAGUGGCGAAGGCGGCUGUCUGGUCUGCAACUGACGCUGAGGCUCGAAAGCAUGGGUAGCGAACAGGAUUAGAUACCCUGGUAGUCCAUGCCGUAAACGAUGAUUACUAAGUGUUGGAGGGUUUCCGCCCUUCAGUGCUGCAGCUAACGCAUUAAGUAAUCCGCCUGGGGAGUACGACCGCAAGGUUGAAACUCAAAAGAAUUGACGGGGGCCCGCACAAGCGGUGGAGCAUGUGGUUUAAUUCGAAGCUACGCGAAGAACCUUACCAGGUCUUGACAUCUUCUGACAGUCUAAGAAGAUUAGAGGUUCCCUUCGGGGACAGAAUGA
rnacentral:rRNA from 1 species